rnacentral:rRNA from 1 species
UACGUAGGGGGCUAGCGUUGUCCGGAUUUAUUGGGCGUAAAGAGCUCGUAGGCGGCUUGUCACGUCGAUUGUGAAAGCCCGAGGCUUAACCUCGGGUCUGCAGUCGAUACGGGCUAGCUAGAGUGUGGUAGGGGAGAUCGGAAUUCCUGGUGUAGCGGUGAAAUGCGCAGAUAUCAGGAGGAACACCGGUGGUGUAGACGGCUUUCUGGACCGUAACUGACGCUGAAACACGAAAGCGUGGGGAGCGAACAGG